GAUGAACGCUAGCGAUAGGCUUAACACAUGCAAGUCGAGUGGCAGCAUGGUCUUAGCUUGCUAAGACUGAUGGCGACCGGCGCACGGGUGCGUAACGCGUAUGCAACUUGCCUCACAGAGGGGGAUAACCCGUCGAAAGACGGACUAAUACCGCGUACACUCUAUUUUGGGCAUCCAAGGUAGAGGAAAUGAAAUUCGCUGUGAGAUAGGCAUGCGUCCCAUUAGCUAGUUGGUGAGGUAACGGCUCACCAAGGCGACGAUGGGUAGGGGAACUGAGAGGUUGAACCCCCACACUGGUACUGGGACACGGACCAGACGCCUACGGGAGGCAGCAGUGAGGAAUAUUAGUAAAUGGGCGAGGGCCUGAACCAGCCAAGUCGCGUGAAGGAUGACUGUCUUAUGGAUUGUAAACUUCUUUUGUAGGGGAAUAAAGAGGGGCACGUGUGCCCCAGUGAAUGUACCCUACGAAUAAGCAUCGGCUAACUCCGUG
rnacentral:rRNA from 1 species